UACGUAGGGUGCAAGCGUUGUCCGGAAUUAUUGGGCGUAAAGAGCUCGUAGGCGGUGUGUCGCGUCUGCCGUGAAAGUCCGGGGCUCAACUCCGGAUCUGCGGUGGGUACGGGCAGACUAGAGUGAUGUAGGGGAGACUGGAAUUCCUGGUGUAGCGGUGAAAUGCGCAGAUAUCAGGAGGAACACCGAUGGCGAAGGCAGGUCUCUGGGCAUUAACUGACGCUGAGGAGCGAAAGCAUGGGGAGCGAACAGG
rnacentral:rRNA from 1 species